UACAGUCUCCCCCUCAAUUUUUCGGGAAAAAGUUGAUGUCUUCGGAGUAUGCAAAAGGAGUGAGCCUAAAAAGACCCACCCCAUAUAAUAUUUUCUUUCACAAGAGUAACACCAUGCAGCCUCUCAGAAAGUCUUUCUCAGCUUUUUCUCUCCAAUCUCAGAUUCCAUCGGCCAGGUUUUCCAUGGAAGUGAGCAACAUAU